rnacentral:rRNA from 1 species
GACGAACGCUGGCGGCGUGCUUAACACAUGCAAGUCGAACGGAAAGGCCCUGCUUUUGUGGGGGGCUCGAGUGGCGAACGGGUGAGUAAAACGUGAGUAACCUGCCCUUGACUUUGGGAUAACUUCAGGAAACUGGGGCUAAUAACGGAUAGUAGCUCCUGCUGCAUGGUGGGGGUUGGAAAGUUUCGGCGGUUGGGGAUGGACUGGGGGCUUAUCAGCUUGUUGGUGGGGUGGUGGCUUACCAAGGCUUUGACGGGUAGCCGGCCUGAGAGGGUGAGCGGCCACAUUGGGACUGAGAUACGGCCCAGACUCCGAGGGGAGGCAGCAGUGGGGAAUAUUGCACAAUGGGCGGAAGCCUGAUGCAGCAACGCCGCGUGCGGGAUGACGGCCUUCGGGUUGUAAACCGCUUUCGCCUGUGACGAAGCGGGAGUGACGGUAAUGGGUAAAGAAGCACCGGCUAACUACGUG